GCAGGCUUAAUACAUGCAAGUCGUGUUGGCAGCGCAGUGUAGCAAUACAUGGGCGGCGACCGGCAAACGGGUGCGGAACACGUACACAACCUUCCUACAAGUGGGGAAUAGCCCAGAGAAAUUUGGAUUAAUACCCCGUAACAUAUAAAGAUGGCAUCAUUUUUAUAUUAUAGCUACGGCGCUUGUUGAUGGGUGUGCGGCUGAUUAGGUAGUUGGCGGGGUAAUGGCCCACCAAGCCUGCGAUCAGUAGCUGAUGUGAGAGCAUGAUCAGCCACACGGGCACUGAGACACGGGCCCGACUCCUACGGGAGGCAGCAGUAAGGAAUAUUGGACAAUGGGCGCAAGCCUGAUCCAGCCAUGCCGCGUGAAGGAUUAAGGUCCUCUGGAUUGUAAACUUCUUUUAUAAGGGACGAAAAAAGGGAAUUCUUUCUCACUUGACGGUACCUUAUGAAUAAGCACCGGCUAACUCCGUGCCAGCAGCCGCGGUAAUACGGAGGGUGCAAGCGUUAUCCGGAUUCACUCGGUUUAAAGGGUGCGUAGGCGGGUAUUUAAGUCAGUGGUGAAAUCCUAGAGCUUAACUCUAGAACUGCCAUUGAUACUAUUUAUCUUGAAUAUUGUGGAGGUAAGCGGAAUAUGUCAUGUAGCGGUGAAAUGCUUAGAUAUGACAUAGAACACCUAUUGCGAAGGCAGCUUACUACGCAUAUAUUGACGCUGAGGCACGAAAGCGUGGGGAUCAAACAGGAUUAGAUACCCUGGUAGUUCCACGCCCUAAACGAUGGAUACUCCGACAUACGCGAUACACUGUGUGUGUCUGAGCGAAAGCAUUAAGUAUCCCACCUGGGGAAGUACCAACCGCCAAGGUUGAAA
rnacentral:rRNA from 1 species